rnacentral:rRNA from 1 species
GAUGAACGCUGGCGGCGUGCCUAAUACAUGCAAGUCGAGCGAACAGACGAGGAGCUUGCUCCUCUGACGUUAGCGGCGGACGGGGGAGUAAAACGUGGAUAACCUACCUAUAAGACUGGGAUAACUUCGGGAAACCGGAGCUAAUACCGGAUAAUAUAUUGAACCGCACGGUUCAAUAGUGAAAGACGGUUUUGCUGUCACUUAUAGAUGGAUCCGCGCCGCAUUAGCUAGUUGGUAAGGUAACGGCUUACCAAGGCAACGAUGCGUAGCCGACCUGAGAGGGUGAUCGCCCACACUGGAACUGAGACACGGUCCAGACACGUCCGAGAGGCAGCAGUAGGAAAUCUGCCGCAAUGGGCGAAAGCCUGACGGAGCAACGCCGCGUGAGUGAUGAAGGUCUCCGGAUCGUAAAACUCUGUUAUUAGGGAAGAACAAAUGUGUAAGUAACUAUGCACGUAUUGACGGUACCUAAUCAGAAAGCCAAGGCUAACUACGUG